AUUCGCACUAAUUCAUACGAGUUUACCAAGUGGCUAAGUCGUACGAUAUCAAACAACCUGGGUUGUACGAAAACGACCAUGGCGUUCAAGAAACGUGAUGCCGCUUUUAUGCUCUAAAAAUCGCGAGGUUUAACAACAGUUAACACGCGCCAAGCUUUGAGAUGGAUGAUGUAGACAGUGGUCUUUCUGACUUCAUUUACUCUGUGCUGCCAAAUUCAAGUUCAAAUGACCUGCUGUUAGAUGCUUUUCAGACCUUGGGUAAUAUACCAGCCACGUCAUGUGGCGGUAAUCACCGCCUCCUUCAUUCAACAGGCCUUCGCACACGUUUUAGAAUACAUUGUAAAAUAAGUUCUGCAAAGACGUUACUCUUCGAAUCUAGUUGGAUUUUCUGAAACAACAUUUCACCAAAUUGACCUGCUUUGUGUUUGCGACAUGGCUUUCAAAUGAGAGAGUACUGUCAAAUACAACGCCAAGAUUCUUAGCUGAUGACGAGGAUUUUAUGGAGCAUCCGUCAAUCGUUAAGCAGUAUUCUUGGUUGUUACGCAUAGCAGUUUUCGGUCCAUAAAUGCUGAUGUGAUAACUGCUGCACCUCAAAGAAGUGCCGCAUUCAGCGAUUCGCAAGAGUCUAGUCGAUGGAACACACAGAGUUUCAGGAUCCUGGGAACCAAGGAUGACACAGACACAGAAGUCCAGUUCAAUCAGAGUCCAAAGUUUAUUGUAUUAAGGACUAAUAUUUAUAUGCUUGAAACAGGAGGUAACACUUGUCAUGGAAAAUCACCAGAGUGGAAAAUCACCAGACCUUCUUAUUCCUCCUGCGAACAUUCCGAUAUGAUAUCACAAAGUACGCAUUCAACAUUACAGUAUCAAAACAAUUGUCCCUUGACAUCAAUUCAUAGUAUAGAAUUGCGUAGUAUAGACCCAGCUCCCAACCCAACUUUGAGAAUAGAUUAACGGUGACAUUUUUUUACUGCGCGAUAAGAGUCUCUCAUUAACGCGCUAACGGCCCACCACUAAAAUAAAUGUUUUUCAUGUAAUACACAAAAGCUCAUGCUUUUUAUUUAUUAUUGCCAAGUAGGCCUACUUAUAAUGGACUGCUUGACGUAAACCCGGGUUCUUUGUGUCAGGUUCUGGGUCUGAUCACCUGUUUCAAUCCUUUGCUGUCUCUGAGUGUUUUUGUUGAGCACAUGUUGUUGUUUUGACAGCUCGUCAUGUUUGUCUGUGUGUGUCUUUGUGUGUGUGUGUAGGUGUGCCUGUUUGUCUGUCUGUGUGCGUGCGUGCGUGUCAGUUUGUGUGUGAGUGCACGUGUGUCUACGCGUCCGUGUGUCUGUGUGUGUUGGAGUGUUUUGUGUGUGGGGUAUUUGAAUCGAUGUGUGUCUGUUUUCUGUGUUUUUACCUUUUUUUGUUUUUACUUAUAUCUUUAAGUAUUUUGCUUAUAGUCAAUAUGUUUCAUGUACUGUACAGCUGCUUCGUCGAUGAAAAUUGUAAAAAGCGCUUUUUAAAUACAGUUGACUGUUGUAAAAAGGACAUUAUUUGUUUAAAGUGUUUGAAAACAACUCUUCUUGCUCUUUU